GAUGAACGCUAGCUACAGGCUUGACACAUGCAAGUCGAGGGGUAGCAGGGUAGCAAUACCGCUGACGACCGGCGCACGGGUGAGUAACACGUAUCCAACCUUCCCAUAACUCGGGGAUAGCCUUUCGAAAGAAAGAUUAAUACCCGAUAGUACUUAUAUAGGGCAUCCUACAUAAGUUAAAGAUUUAUUGGUUAUGGAUGGGGAUGCGUUCCACUAGAUAGUUGGUGAGGUAACGGCUCACCAAGUCUUCGAUGGAUAGGGGUUCUGAGAGGAAGGUCCCCCACAUUGGUACUGAGACACGGACCAAACUCCUACGGGAGGCAGCAGUGAGGAAUAUUGGUCAAUGGGCGAGAGCCUGAACCAGCCAAGUAGCGUGAAGGAUGAAGGUCCUAUGGAUUGUAAACUUCUUUUAUAGUAGAAUAAAGUGAUCCACGUGUGGAUUUUUGUAUGUAUACUAUGAAUAAGGAUCGGCUAACUCCGUGCCAGCAGCCGCAGUAA
rnacentral:rRNA from 1 species